CCGAAAAUACUUGUCAUCAAAAUGGAUAAAAAUAGAUGUAUCUAAAACUAAAAUACGUCUAGAUACAUUUCCUUUUAUCCAUUUUGAUGACAAGUAUUUCCGG
rnacentral:pre_miRNA from 1 species